UACGUAGGGGGCAAGCGUUGUCCGGAAUUACUGGGCGUAAAGGGCUCGUAGGUGGCCGACUAAGUCAGACGUGAAAUCCCUCAGCUUAACUGGGGAACUGCGUCUGAUACUGGAUGGCUUGAGUUUGGGAGAGGGAUGCGGAAUUCCAGGUGUAGCGGUGAAAUGCGUAGAUAUCUGGAGGAACACCGGUGGCGAAGGCGGCAUACUGGACCAACACUGACACUGAGGAGCGAAAGCCAGGGGAGCAAACGGG
rnacentral:rRNA from 1 species